rnacentral:lncRNA from 1 species
CACAAGUCUGUUAGGGAAUCUUUGUUAACAGCUUCACAUACGUCUUUUGAAUUAUAAAUCGAUAAAUAGUUAAUUCAGUAAUAGAAUUCUUCUGCAUAUUUCAUGUGGCCUACACUCUGAGGGGCUUAGGAUGCUGAUGGCAAAGCAACAGAAGACUGAGGUUCAAGCUUUUUAAACUCCUGUCAGCACUUCUGGAUUCGGUCGACAGUGGGGUAUGGAACACAGGCUAGCCCCUCCUGGCUCCAGCUCCUCUUCCUCUGGGGCCACACAGUGAAGAUGGAGCCCAGUGUACCCUGGGCAUCACUGAUGAAGCGUCUGUACCACCAAUGGCUCUAUUCUGCAGUGGGUUUAUUCCAUGGUACAUAUGGAGAUUCCUUCCACCAUUUGGUUGCUUGAUAUCUUCUACCACGGAGCCAUGACAUAGUCCUCAACCAGGAGAAGCAGAAUUCUGCUGGCGCCCCAGGGCAAGAACACUCAUCCGGAGACUGGCCCAUACACCUAGUGUGUGCAGUGUAUGAUUCCAGCUGUCAAUACCUCUUCAUGAGUCU